rnacentral:rRNA from 1 species
AGCGGCCGCGGUAAUUCCAGCUCCAAUAGCGUAUAUUAAAGUUGUUGCAGUUAAAAAGCUCGUAGUUGAAUUUCGGGAUCAGUACGCUGGUCGUGCCUUCGGUAUGAACUGGUGUCACUGGUUCCUCCCUUCUGAAGAACCGUCAUGCCAUUCAGUUGGUGUGGCGGGGAAUCAGGACUGUUACUUUGAAAAAAUUAGAGUGUUUAAAGCAGGCUCGCGCUUGAAUACAUUAGCAUGGAAUAAUGAAAUAGGACGUUUGACCCUAUUUUGUUGGUUUCUAGGAUCGACGUAAUGAUUAAUAGGGAUAGUUGGGGGCAUUAGUAUUCAAUUGUCAGAGGUGAAAUUCUUGGAUUUAUUGAAGACUAACUACUGCGAAAGCAUUUGCCAAGGAUGUUUUCAUUAAUCAAGAACGAAAGUUAGGGGAUCGAAGACGAUCAGAUACCGUCGUAGUCUUAACCAUAAACUAUGCCGACUAGGGAUCGGAUGAUGUUAAUUUUUUAAUGACUCAUUCGGCGCCUUACG